UACGUAGGGUGCAAGCGUUAAUCGGAAUUAUUGGGCGUAAAGAGCUUGUAGGCGGUUUGUCGCGUCUGCCGUGAAAAUCCGGGGCUCAACCCCGGACUUGCGGUGGGUACGGGCAGACUAGAGUGUGGUAGGGGAGACUGGAAUUCCUGGUGUAGCGGUGAAAUGCGCAGAUAUCAGGAGGAACACCGAUGGCGAAGGCAGGUCUCUGGGCCACUACUGACGCUGAGAAGCGAAAGCGUGGGGAGCGAACAGG
rnacentral:rRNA from 1 species